GGGGCUGUAGCUCAGUGGCAAAGCACUUGCCUACCAUGCAUGAGGCAAUGGCUUUGAUCCUCAGCACCA
rfam:Ictidomys tridecemlineatus contig073316, whole genome shotgun sequence.